rnacentral:rRNA from 1 species
AGUCGAACGGCAGCACGGACUUCGGUCUGGUGGCGAGUGGCGAACGGGUGAGUAAUGUAUCGGAACGUGCCCAGUAGCGGGGGAUAACUACGCGAAAGCGUAGCUAAUACCGCAUACGCCCUAAGGGGGAAAGCAGGGGAUCGCAAGACCUUGCACUAUUGGAGCGGCCGAUAUCGGAUUAGCUAGUUGGUGAGGUAAUGGCUCACCAAGGCGACGAUCCGUAGCUGGUUUGAGAGGACGACCAGCCACACUGGGACUGAGACACGGCCCAGACUCCUACGGGAGGCAGCAGUGGGGAAUUUUGGACAAUGGGGGAAACCCUGAUCCAGCCAUCCCGCGUGUGCGAUGAAGGCCUUCGGGUUGUAAAGCACUUUUGGCAGGAAAGAAACGGCGCGGGUUAAUACCUCGCGCAACUGACGGUACCUGCAGAAUAAGCACCGGCUAACUACGUGCCAGCAGCCGCGGUAAUACGUAGGGUGCAAGCGUUAAUCGGAAUUACUGGGCGUAAAGCGUGCGCAGGCGGUUCGGAAAGAAAGAUGUGAAAUCCCAGAGCUUAACUUUGGAACUGCAUUUUUAACUACCGGGCUAGAGUGUGUCAGAGGGAGGUGGAAUUCCGCGUGUAGCAGUGAAAUGCGUAGAUAUGCGGAGGAACACCGAUGGCGAAGGCAGCCUCCUGGGAUAACACUGACGCU